ACUCUGCGGCGCUGCACAGAUUAAACAGAAGAAGCAAAAGGCGUGACUUCCCCAGGCUCCGAAGUUUACGUGCGAUAUUCUUUCAACACACCGUGUUCUGUGACCACGGCGGUGAUGGUUUGCUGUGUACCUUUACCCAUCUAAAAACAGGCAGAGCAAAGCAGCGGCAAUCAGAUAUUGUCUGGCAGGAGAAGCGAACCUUUCAGACACUUCGAGUUGCCACAGUU